rnacentral:pre_miRNA from 1 species
UUCAACUUGGAGAUUCAGUACGCUCAGCUUUGAGAACUGAAUUCCACGGGUUGUGAUUGCAACUCUGACAGACCCGUGGGGCUCAGUUCUUGAGCUGGGGUACCUCUGUCCUCGCAGAAUCCAGGAGAA